CCAGGCACUGCCACGUCCACUAUCCAGUAUUAUUAUUAUUAUUAUUAUUAUUAUUAUUAUUAUUAUUAUUAUUAUUAUUAUUAUAUCACCUGCUUGUUAUCUUAUGUUUGCUUCUUGCAAGGAAAUUUCAAUACAUUGAUGUCUCACGAAGGGGGAGACCUAGGAGCUCACCAUAAUUACUCCAUCCACAAAGAAUGCUACUUCAUAUUUUCUUAACUGACCACUUUCAGAAAUUACCUAUUAACUGUCUCAAAGAAGUUAGAUACCUUGAGACUGACAUGAUUGCAAAUAUCAGGUGUGUGCCUUCAAUCCUUAGUAUAAGUAAAUUAAAUUCUAUUUUUAUAUUAUUUAAGAAUUUAUAAUUAGCAACAACAAGCAACAUAAGGUUUUGGCUACUAAGAGCUCAGAAAAUUUUGGAGUAUUUGAUUGUGUGUAUUAGGACUUUGAAAAUAUUUUUAAAGAAUAAAUAUAUUUGUUGGAAAGAAAAAUUGUCUUUUAUAUUGAAAAUAUAAUAAGACAAGUAACUUAUAAGAGUGCCUAGAGAUAUCUUUGAGGAACCAUACUGGGAAUUGCAUUGGGAUUUUGAAUCAAUUAUGUCAGAUAUCUUGUAUUCCCAGAGGAAGAUGUUACAGAAAAAGUUAUUCAACAACAUCUACUUGAGAACAACUUGAAUGAUACUUUGAAUAAUAAUAAUUUGUUAUCAUAUAUAAAGAAAAAAAUUGAAUGAGGCUUUAAAAAUUAAGAAGGAAACAAAAAUGUAUAUACUGUGUAAAUAGAAAAGAAAAAGAAUUUGAUGAUUUCCCAAAGGGAAUGGAACAGUGGUUUCAUUGCUCUUCUUGUACUGGAAAUUACAAGGCAAUUUCAAACAUUACUCGUUAAAAAAAUGUACUGUGUAUUGAAAAUAAAUGGUAGACUUGAAAGUAUCCCCAGACUCUGUAUCUCAGAAGUUACUAAAUUAUAAACAAAAGAAAGCAGGAAAAAAAAUACAGAUGGAUGUUUAUACAGAAGCUUUUGCUACAAGACUGAAAGCAAAUCUAGACUUCUCCUGUAGCAGAUUCCAUGAAAUGAAACACAAUCAGGCUUGUCCAUCAGCAGAUUUUAAUGCCGCUGUAUUAAAUGGAUUGUCAAAUAUAUAGUUUUGGCAAUUAAUGAAUAAUUUGGCUAGAAAAUGCAUGAAAUAUUGAAGAUAUUCAUCUUGCAAGAUUCUGAGCUUUGGUAAACAUUUUUAUUCAUUAAAGUUAGGUGAAGAGAUUAUAAAAUUGAUUAUAUUUGUCAUGAUCAGGAUAAGAAUUUCCUAUUGAAGGAAAUUUACUUUUUUGCACUCUUUUUAUAAAAUUCAUUUUUAGUUUGUAUCAUCUUUUAUUAUUGUAUCUAAAAGUCUUAAUACAACUAUUAGAAAAAAAAUCAACCUCUUCAAGCAAUAUCACAAAAUAAACCUUAGCCUUCAUUAUUAGAGUUUUCAUAUCAUGUGCAUUUUCAGCUGUGGGGCAGUGUCAGCGUAGCUAGCUCAGGUUACUAAUUCUUCUCCCUCCAGUUUUAAAAUCACAUUCAUUUUCUUUCAGUCCAGCCUUCCUCAACAUAUAUUCAGGAUAUAUUCAAAGCAACCACAAAAUAAAUUGAAAGAUGUUGGUGUGCAGUUCAGCAUCUAAAAUGGGCAAGAAUGCAUUAGAUUUGGUGUGUACCUGUCACUGUACCUGUCAACUGCCCAUUUACUUGGACUUGCACAUUGGUUCAGGAAAACACUAAUUUGAGUUAAGCAGUUGGAGAGAGAGAAGCCAGAAAUGGUUACACAGUGUUAUGGGCUCUUUAAUGCAGGGAUGUCCAACCUUGGCAACUUUAAGACUUGUAGGGCAAGGACAGUACAAUAUAAGUUUGCAUUCAGAAUUACAUUGUAUUUAGGAUCUGCUAGCACAAAUGAGAUAGCUGUGCUUAAAUUUAACAAGGGUCAGCAUACCAAAGGAGCCUGAAAAACUCAUAAUGACAGGCUCUACAUACUACUGAAAUAGAAAACUGAAAUUAACCUUUAUCCUUUAAAUCUGUUUCUGUAGCACAAAAAAAGUUGUCACUCUAGGUUAGGGGUAGUGUGAUAUAGUAUAGGAACACUCUGAGGGAAUAGAGAAGGUAAGCAGAUUGUCACAUGGUUUCCUAGGCAUACAAACCAUACCUGAAGCAUUUUUUCACACAUACAAUAGGUUGAUAUAGGUUGAGAAGCUGGUAGCUGGAUUUAAAGUUGCCAAAAAAAAAAAAAAAA